AACGAACGCUGGCGGCAGGCCUAACACAUGCAAGUCGAACGCUGUAGCAAUACAGAGUGGCAGACGGGUGAGUAACGCGUGGGAACAUGCCCUUCGGUUCGGAAUAACUCAGGGAAACUUGAGCUAAUACCGGAUACGCCCUUAGGGGGAAAGAUUUAUUGCCGAAGGAUUGGCCCGCGUCCGAUUAGCUAGUUGGUGAGGUAAUGGCUCACCAAGGCGACGAUCGGUAGCUGGUCUGAGAGGAUGAUCAGCCACACUGGGACUGAGACACGGCCCAGACUCCUACGGGAGGCAGCAGUGGGGAAUAUUGGACAAUGGGCGCAAGCCUGAUCCAGCCAUGCCGCGUGAGUGAUGAAGGCCCUAGGGUUGUAAAGCUCUUUCGCCAGGGACGAUAAUGACGGUACCUGGAUAAGAAGCCCCGGCUAACUUCGUGCCAGCCGCCGCAGUAACAC
rnacentral:rRNA from 1 species